ACGCAUUUGUUUCUAUCUGUGCUUGUCUCUCUUCUGUUGCACACACUGAGAAGGGAGAGGUGCCAAACAGACGUGAAAGGGGCACAAGGAGAGGCGCGGGAUGAAGUUUGGGAGUACGGAAGAAGAGAGGGCAUACAUGUACACGCUGCCUUCCUCCCACCUCCCUAUUUCAUCACGUCAUCUGCUUGUGCGUUUAGUGUAGCAUCACAGUGAUUCCCACCAGGAAGCCCACUCCACCCUCCCCUGCUCCUCCUCCUUUGUGCCGCGCUGCGCGGCUGCUCCUUUCACUUCUCACAAGUGGCACCCUUUUUCGCUCUGCGCUCUCACACGGAUACUCAUUUUUUUUUUCUGUUCUGUUUGCGUACUUUGUUAGCGAAACAAACAACAUAGAAAGUGCCGGUCGUGGCGGUGAUGCCUAUCCAUGGCCUCCCCCGUGUCCCGACCCCGACUCCCUUUCUCUCUUUUCGUACGCCUUUUCGUUGCGUUUCCCUUUUCCUCCUGCACACGUUCGAACGUUCUCUAUCUGUUUUUGUCGUUUGCUGUUUUACCCCUUCUCACCUCGCUUCCUUUCCUCUAUUCUCCUCCCCCUCUCACCUGAUUUCGCAACCCGAUGUUUUCUCUUGCCUGCUCUCUCGCUUCGCAUACCAUUGCCCUAAAG
rnacentral:misc_RNA from 1 species